UGCAGUCGAGCGGAACGAGCAUAUCUGAACCUUCGGGGGACGAUAACGGCGUCGAGCGGCGGACGGGUGAGUAAUGCCUAGGAAAUUGCCCUGAUGUGGGGGAUAACCAUUGGAAACGAUGGCUAAUACCGCAUGAUGCCUACGGGCCAAAGAGGGGGACCUUCGGGCCUCUCGCGUCAGGAUAUGCCUAGGUGGGAUUAGCUAGUUGGUGAGGUAAGGGCUCACCAAGGCGACGAUCCCUAGCUGGUCUGAGAGGAUGAUCAGCCACACUGGAACUGAGACACGGUCCAGACUCCUACGGGAGGCAGCAGUGGGGAAUAUUGCACAAUGGGCGCAAGCCUGAUGCAGCCAUGCCGCGUGUGUGAAGAAGGCCUUCGGGUUGUAAAGCACUUUCAGUCGUGAGGAAGGUAGUGUAGUUAAUAGCUGCAUUAUUUGACGUUAGCGACAGAAGAAGCACCGGCUAACUUCCGUGCCAGCAGCCGCGGUUAAUACGGAGGGGUGGCGAGCGUUAAUCGGAAUUACUGGGCGUAAAGCGCAUGCCAGGUGGUUUGUUAAGUCAGAUGUGAAAGCCCGGGGCUCAACCUCGGAAUUGCAUUUGAAACUGGCAGACUAGAGUACUGUAGAGGGGGGUAGAAUUUCAGGUGUAGCGGUGAAAUGCGUAGAGAUCUGAAGGAAUACCGGGUGGCGAAGGCGGCCCCCUGGACAGAUACUGACACUCAGGAUGCGAAAGCGUGGGGGAGCAAACAGGAUUAGAUACCCCUGGUAGUCCACGCCGUAAACGAUGUCUACCUUGGAGGUUGUGGCCUUGAGCCGUGGCUUUCGGAGCUUAACGCGUUAAGUAGACCGCCUGGGGAAGUACGGUCGCAAGAUUUAAAACUCAAAUGAAUUGACGGGGGCCCGCCACAAGCGGUGGAGCAUGUUGGUUUAAUUCGAUGCCAACGCGAAGAACCUUACCUACUCUUGACAUCCAGAGAACUUUCCAGAGAUGGAUUGGUGCCUUCGGGAACUCUGAGACAGGUGCUGCAUGGCUGUCGUCAGCUCGUGUUGUGAAAUGUUGGGUUAAGUCCCGCAACGAGCGCAACCCUUAUCCUUGUUUGCCAGCGAGUAAUGUCGGGAACUCCAGGGAGACUGCCGGUGAUAAACCGGAGGAAGGUGGGGACGACGUCAAGUCAUCAUGGCCCUUACGAGUAGGGCUACACACGUGCUACAAUGGCGCAUACAGAGGGCAGCCAACUUGCGAAAGUGAGCGAAUCCCAAAAAGUGCGUCGUAGUCCGGAUUGGAGUCUGCAACUCGACUCCAUGAAGUCGGAAUCGCUAGUAAUCGUGGAUCAGAAUGCCACGGUGAAUACGUUCCCGGGCCUUGUACACACCGCCCGUCACACCAUGGGAGUGGGCUGCAAAAGAAGUAGGUAGUUUAACCUUCGGGGGGACGCUUA
rnacentral:rRNA from 1 species